rnacentral:pre_miRNA from 1 species
UGGACAGAUUAUUGUAUUCGACUGUAUUCAUGGCGUGAAAUAGGGGAUUACACUAUUUUUAAAACGGAACCCGGAAUCAAUUAACAUAAUAAACUCCU